GUCGUAUUGAAAAGGGCUUAUAGGAAUUGAUUUGACUACUUAUGACACAAAAUGCACUUACCUUUUCGGUUAAAGUUCAGGGUGCUUGAGAUGGAACAAUCAAAGAAUGGGUGACCUAUCAGGAAGCUGGUGCAAGCUGGUCAAUCCCGGUACUAUGUAAAUGAGGACAAAGCACGGGGAAUGGUCACGCCAUAUUUGUAGGAUCAAUAUAUUAGAUAUACCGAGCCUUUUUGAUAAUGAACUAGAUGUUGAAUGAGGGUGAGGCUCACUUUCUGAAAGUGAACGUUAGGGAUGGGGCUCACAAACAUUGGCGGGUCGGCACGUUACAAUUGGUACCAGAGCCGAAACCUGAUGAGAGUUGAGUGGACUCACACCUUCAGGGGUGACCAUCCAGAUGUGCAACGAGGACGUUGCACUCUGUUAAUGGGGGUGAAUGUAGUUCCCUUGAUUUGUGAUAGUAGAUUAGGUAAACAUGGUUUAUAAGAAUUGAUUUGGCUAUGACGUAAAAAGUGCACUUAGUCUUUCGGUUAACCAUCCGGAGAGAAAUCGAGAGUUAAGAGUGUUUGAGCUGGAACAAUCAAAUGAUGGAUGACCUAUCGGGAAGCUGGUGCAAGCUAGUCAUUCCCAGUACCGUGUGAGUGAGAAAAAAAGCACAGGAAACGGUUAC
rnacentral:lncRNA from 1 species